rnacentral:rRNA from 1 species
UACGAAGGGGGCUAGCGUUGCUCGGAAUCACUGGGCGUAAAGGGCGCGUAGGCGGCCGAUUAAGUCGGGGGUGAAAGCCUGUGGCUCAACCACAGAAUUGCCUUCGAUACUGGUUGGCUUGAGACCGGAAGAGGACAGCGGAACUGCGAGUGUAGAGGUGAAGUUCGUAGAUAUUCGCAAGAACACCAGUGGCGAAGGCGGCUGUCUGGUCCGGUUCUGACGCUGAGGCGCGAAAGCGUGGGGAGCAAACAGG